rnacentral:rRNA from 1 species
GACAGAGGUGCCGAGCGUUAGGCGGAAUCACUGGGCUUAAAGCGUGUGUAGGCGGGCGGGCAAGUACCUUGUGAAAUCCCACGGCUCAACCGUGGAACGGCUGGGUAUACUGCCUGUCUUGAGCCAACUAGGGGCGAGCGGGACAGACGGUGGAGCGGUGAAAUGCGUAGAUAUCGUCUGGAACGCCGAAGGUGAAAACAGCUCGCUGGGGCUGCGCUGACGCUGAGACACGAAAGCCAGGGGAGCGAACGGG